GGCUCCGUAGUAUAGUGGUUAUUAUUUCUGUUUUACAUGCAGAAGGUCCUGGGUUCAAGCCCCAGUGGAACCA
rnacentral:tRNA from 1 species